AGAGUUUGAUCCUGGCUCAGGAUGAACGCUAGCGAUAGGCUUAACACAUGCAAGUCGAGGGGCAGCAUGGUCUUAGCUUGCUAAGACUGAUGGCGACCGGCGCACGGGUGCGUAACGCGUAUGCAACUUGCCUCACAGAGGGGGAUAACCCGUCGAAAGACGGACUAAUACCGCGUACACUCCAUCUUGGGCAUCCAAGGUAGAGGAAAUGAAAUUCGCUGUGAGAUAGGCAUGCGUCCCAUUAGCUAGUUGGUGAGGUAACGGCUCACCAAGGCGACGAUGGGUAGGGGAACUGAGAGGUUGAACCCCCACACUGGUACUGAGACACGGACCAGACUCCUACGGGAGGCAGCAGUGAGGAAUAUUGGUCAAUGGGCGAGAGCCUGAACCAGCCAAGUCGCGUGAAGGAUGACUGUCUUAUGGAUUGUAAACUUCUUUUAUACGGGAAUAACAAGAGUCACGUGUGACUCCCUGCAUGUACCGUAUGAAUAAGCAUCGGCUAACUCCGUGCCAGCAGCCGCGGUAAUACGGAGGAUGCGAGCGUUAUCCGGAUUUAUUGGGUUUAAAGGGUGCGUAGGCGGCCUGUUAAGUCAGCGGUGAAAUCUAGGAGCUUAACUCCUAAAUUGCCAUUGAUACUGGCGGGCUUGAGUGUAGAUGAGGUAGGCGGAAUGCGUGGUGUAGCGGUGGAAUGCAUAGAUAUCACGCAGAACUCCGAUUGCGAAGGCAGCUUACUAAGGUACAACUGACGCUGAAGCACGAAAGCGUGGGUAUCAAACAGGAUUAGAUACCCUGGUAGUCCACGCUGUAAACGAUGAUAACUGGGCGUAUGCGAUAUACAGUAUGCUCCUAAGCGAAAGCGUUAAGUUAUCCACCUGGGGAGUACGCCGGCAACGGUGAAACUCAAAGGAAUUGACGGGGGCCCGCACAAGCGGAGGAACAUGUGGUUUAAUUCGAUGAUACGCGAGGAACCUUACCCGGGCUUGAAUUGCAGAGGAAGGAUUUAGAGAUAAUGACGCCCUUCGGGGUCUCUGUGAAGGUGCUGCAUGGUUGUCGUCAGCUCGUGCCGUGAGGUGUCGGCUUAAGUGCCAUAACGAGCGCAACCCCU
rnacentral:rRNA from 1 species